rnacentral:sRNA from 1 species
ACCUUGAUGGUAGAAUCACUCAUUAAGAGUUCUUCUGCCAACAACUCAAAUACUGAUGUACCAUAAUGAGCUAAUCCGAAGCUCAAAACACCACCGCACAACAA